rnacentral:rRNA from 1 species
GAAACCGUUUGCAGGGAAACAGAUGGACCCACGAAGUCCAGUUGAGUGUGAAAUUCACAUUUCAAGACAGCGUAAAUUUGAGUGUACAUCUUCUUUCGAAGGUGUCCUCGAGUUAUUGGCUGUCAAGAGAUGCAUUUUUCACAUUCACGAUGGAGCUCUGACUUCUUAAUCAAACCGAACUGCUUAGGGCAGCUCUUAAAUGUAGUGAGAUUCCUGUAAUCUCCGAUACAUUUUUGAGUGUGCAGUGAGGUUUAACUGAGAGGUUGAAUUUCUCACGUUUGUGAGUGAUUCAGUUUAUCGGUGAAAAUAUCUGGUAGGCAUGUGGCAAAAGAUAUUGAUUUACUGUAAGUAGUUGACUUUAUCUUUUGUUCACAUUCCAAUUUAUCAGAUAUUUUUGCCAAUGAUAAUCCAGAGUAAGUAGGUCGGUCAUCCAUCUGACC